rnacentral:rRNA from 1 species
UAACCUGCCUUGGAGUGGGGAAUAACAGCUGGAAACAGCUGCUAAUACCGCAUAAUGCAGUUGGGUCGCAUGGCUCUGACUGCCAAAGAUUUAUCGCUCUGAGAUGGACUCGCGUCUGAUUAGCUAGUUGGCGGGGUAACGGCCCACCAAGGCGACGAUCAGUAGCCGGACUGAGAGGUUGGCCGGCCACAUUGGGACUGAGACACGGCCCAGACUCCUACGGGAGGCAGCAG